GAUGAACGCUGGCGGCGUGCCUAAUACAUGCAAGUCGAGCGAACAGACGAGGAUCUUGCUCCUCUGACGUUAGCGGCGGACGGGUGAGUAACACGUGGAUAACCUCCCUAUAAGACUGGGAUAACUUCGGGAAACCGGAGCUAAUACCGGAUAAUAUAUUGAACCGCAUGGUUCAAUAGUGAAAGACGGUUUUGCUGUCACUUAUAGAUGGAUCCGCGCCGCAUUAGCUAGUUGGUAAGGUAACGGCUUACCAAGGCAACGAUGCGUAGCCGACCUGAGAGGGUGAUCGGCCGCACUGGAACAGAGACACGGUCCAGAGUCCUACGGGAGGCAGCAGUAGGGAAUCGUCCGCAAGGGGCGGAAGCCUGACGGAGCAACGCCGAGUGAGUGAUGAAGGUCUUCGGAUCGUAAAACUCUGUUAUUAGGGAAGAACAAAUGUGUAAGUAACUAUGCACGUCUUGACGGUACCUAAUCAGAAAGCCACGGCUAACUACGUG
rnacentral:rRNA from 1 species